rnacentral:rRNA from 1 species
GACGAACGCUGGCGGCGUGCUUAACACAUGCAAGUCGAGCGGAAAGGCCCCUUCGGGGGUACUCGAGCGGCGAACGGGUGAGUAACACGUGAGUAAUCUGCCCUUCACUUUGGGAUAACCCCCGGAAACGGGAGCUAAUACCGGAUACGACCACUCCACGCAUGUGGUGGUGGGGGAAACUCUCUUGGGUGGGGGAUGGGCUCGAGGCCUAUCAGCUUGUUGGUGGGGUAAUGGCCUACCAAGGCUUUGACGGGUAGCCGGCCUGAGAGGGUGACCGGCCACACUGGGACUGAGACACGGCCCCGACUCCUACGGGAGGCAGCAGUGGGGAAUAUUGGACAAUGGGCGGAAGCCUGAUCCAGCAACGCCGCGUGAGGGAUGACGGCCUUCGGGUUGUAAACCUCUUUCAGCACCGACGAAGCGCAAGUGACGGUAGGUGCAGAAGAAGGACCGGCCAACUACGUGCCAGCCGCCGCAGUAAUAC